AUUGAACGCUGGCGGCAGGCCUAACACAUGCAAGUCGAACGAGUGGCGGACGGGUGAGUAAUGUCUGGGAAUCUGGCUGAUGGAGGGGGAUAACUACGGGAAACUGUAGCUAAUACCGCGUACCAUAGGAUGAGCCCAGAUGGGAUUAGGUAGUUGGUGGGGUAAAGGCUCACCAAGGCGACGAUCCCUAGCUGGUCUGAGAGGAUGACCAGCCACACUGGAACUGAGACACGGCCCAGACUCCUACGGGAGGCAGCAGUGGGGAAUAUUGCACAAUGGGGGCAAGCCUGACGCAGCCAUGCCGCGUGAAUGAAGAAGGCCUUCGGGUUGUAAAGUUCUUUCGGCAGCGAGGCGUUACCUGCAGAAGAAGCACCGGCUAACUCCGUGCCAGCAGCCGCGGUAAUUC
rnacentral:rRNA from 1 species